GGAUUGUGGCUCAGCGGUAGAGCGCCCCACUAGCAUGGGCAGAACCCGGGUUUGAUCCUCAGCACCA
rnacentral:tRNA from 1 species